CUUUGUUAUUGUUUCAACUGCUGAUUGACGCUUUAAAGGGGGUUCAGACAAUGGGCCUGAUUCACAAACAGAAAAGAAACGUAGAAAAACGUUUUAACAUAUUUUUUUUAUCAUUGACUUUCUAAACUUUUCAGAAUGCUAAGGAAAUGCUACCUGUCUAUCAAGAAACAUUGUCAUUCUAUGACUCCUAUCCAAAGGUUGAUGAUAUCAAUGUGUAUGGGUUUUUGUGCUACGUUUUCUCACAGUGUGGGGUUUGGGAUACCACAGUGACUGAAUAUUCAUGUCACGUUGUACAAAAACCCUCAACAUAAUUUCUAUGUUCAGAACCUUAAAAGUCAACAAGGCAACCUGACUCUACUAGGCAAACAAAUUGCGCUACAGUUUUGUGCAUCUAAACUGACAUUUGGAAAAGCCAUCAAUCUCAUUGUUGAACCCAAUGGAACUCCUGCCCGCCCAACACUGUCCAUCCUCACCCCACACCACAAGAUAGAGAAUGAUGACCAGCCUGAGGUGUGCCUGGCUACAGGCUUCUUUCCUAGGAUUGAAAACAUGAAUCUCACCCUGGGGAAUAAUGUUACUGUCCCACGCAAAACAACCAAGGCAGCUUUAUCUUCCACACGUACCUACUUCUUUGCCGGAUUCUCCAAAGAGAAUAUCAAGCGUUGUGAGAUGGAUGGCGUCGUCAAGAAGCGUGUUGAUGGUGGUUUUCCAGAUGUGUCUAACGAUAAGACCACGGCUACAACUGCUUCUGACAAUUGCGAACAUGAACGCCUCAACAAUGCUACUGCCACCAACUAUACCGGUUGGUGAUAUUUUGCGACACUAAAUAAAAACAUGGUGUAAAGUCAAUUGUUCUGCAUGAUGCACACAUGUUUAAAUUUCAGCAUGUCUAAGUGUGCAAAACACUGAAAUGACGCAACAUUUGUUUUUUACAGAUUAUACCAAGAUGAACUUCACAUCCUUGGUUGUGUAUGGUUUGAGAGUGCUGUUUGCCAAAGCCGUGGCAUUUAAUGUGCUAUUUACUGUCAAGGCCCUGGUGUUCUAG
rnacentral:lncRNA from 1 species